GGGGGGCACUCGGGAGGGAGGCAACGAUCGGGGCUGCAGACCCGUGAGGGUCCCGCAGGAGUGCGCCGGUGGCUCCCGCGCUAUUGCAGCCAGUGCCUGUUGCUGUGCGCAUGAGUCCCUGAACAGCCGGGCACCGUGGUGAUGAGUGACUGCCCCCUCAGACUCACUGCCGCCUGGAACUGAUGGAGCAGCUGUGGGAGGCCCUGCCCCUUGCAGCCACAGGGAAGGUGUCCCCAGCCUAGGAACACCUGCUGGUAAGCGAGCCUGUGACCACCAGAUUCCAGCGUUUUCUAACCAAACCAGGCUUCCUGAACCGCACUGGUUUGUGACUGCUGAGCUAUUUCCUCUGACUGGUAACCCUGAACCAUCCCCUCCCAGGCAGAAGAGGGAGGCUCCUCAGACUCGGGGACCUUGCUGGGCUGGGAAGGUCCCCAGGCUGGUAAGAGCGAGCAGCUGCUAGCUGUGUGUACAUCCAGCAGGACCUCUUCGCCUGGGGUUGGACGGAACAGCGGGCUUUUCAGUGGUGUGGCUGCCGGAGUCUCCUUGCUCUUGGGAGGGCCCCUCACCCUGGCUCUGCCUGUAACCCCAAUAAAACCUCUGCUCCACCACAUGGA